rnacentral:lncRNA from 1 species
GCCAGCUGUGAAGUCUUGACCAUCUUCAAGAUUGACUAUCUUGUUUCAUGGGUGACCUCAAAAGCAAUUGUGGAAAUGUGUUACUUUUUAUUCGGCUUAAAUCCACGUCACGAUCUUCAAGAUUAACUAGCUCAAUCUUCAAGAUUAACUAGCUCAAUCUUCAAGAUUAACUAGCUCAAUCUUCAAGAUUGACUAGCUUGUUUCAUGGGUGACCUCAAAAGCAAUUGUGGAAAUGUGUUACUUUUUAUUCGGCUUAAAUCCACAGCACGAUCUUCAAGAUUAACUAGCUUGUUUCAUGGGUGCACUUCAAAAGCAAUUGUGGAAAUGUGUUACUUUUUAUUUGGCUUAAAUCCACA